ACGGCCCAGACUCCUACGGGAGGCAGCAGUGGGGAAUAUUGCACAAUGGGCGAAAGCCUGAUGCAGCGACGCCGCGUGAGGGAUGACGGCCUUCGGGUUGUAAACCUCUUUCAGCAGGGAAGAAGCGAAAGUGACGGUACCUGCAGAAGAAGCACCGGCUAACUACGUGCCAGCAGCCGCGGUAAUACGUAGGGUGCGAGCGUUGUCCGGAAUUAUUGGGCGUAAAGAGCUCGUAGGCGGUCUGUCGCGUCGGAUGUGAAAGCCCGGGGCUUAACUCCGGGUCUGCAUUCGAUACGGGCAGACUAGAGUGUGGUAGGGGAGAUCGGAAUUCCUGGUGUAGCGGUGAAAUGCGCAGAUAUCAGGAGGAACACCGGUGGYGAAGGYGGAUCUCUGGGCCAUUACUGACGCUGAGGAGCGAAAGCGUGGGGAGCGAACAGGAUUAGAUACCCUGGUAGUCCACGCCGUAAACGUUGGGAACUAGGUGUUGGCGACAUUCCACGUCGUCGGUGCCGCAGCUAACGCAUUAMGUUCCCCGCCUGGGGAGUACGGCCGCAAGGCUAAAACUCAAAGGAAUUGA
rnacentral:rRNA from 1 species